AUGUUUUAUUACGUAUAGUGCUAUUACUUCUCUUUAUACAUGUAUAAAUAUAUAUAAAAAAAAAGAGAGCAAAAUCAGUAUGCCCCUACUCGAACAAGAUCCUAACGUCCAACCUCAGUAUUUUUUGUACUAUUAUAACUCAGCAUCAAGAUUGGAAUGGUCUGCAGCAGAUUAUUUUUUAGUUAUCAAACCACCAAGGCAAAUUCAAAG
rnacentral:lncRNA from 1 species